AGGGAGGACAAAAAAUUAUGGGACUCAAGCCGUUUCAGGCAGACGCACAAGACACUUUGGCCAAAGAGUCACCCCGUCACGUUUCCACACCCGUACACAGAUCACUGGACCAAAAUGAAAACAAGGGUACCAGAUUAUGUUGCAUCCCUUCCAGCUGCCCCAUUGAAAGACACAG